CUAUGGUUUGUGCGUUGUUGGCUUGGCCGUGCCGCCUAGGCAAAUCCGGGUGGCGUUAGCGGCUGAGUUGACUGCCGGCAAAGCUUUCGGGCGGCGCCAAUUUAAGCGGAGUCAGCGCCAAGAAAAUCCUCUAGGGCUAAGAUUAUAGUAAUCGUACUGCAAACCGACACAGGUAGAUGAGGCGAGGAGCCUAAGGUGUACGAGAGAACCUUCGUUAAGGAACUCGGCAAAUCAGCGGUCGUAAGUUCGCAAUAAGACCUCCCUGCGCAAGCAGGGCGCAGCUAAAGACAGCCAAGUGACUGUUUACCAAAAACACAGCUCUCUGCUAAAUCGUAAGAUGAUGUAUAGAGGGUGAUGCCUGGCCAGUGUCCGAACGUUAAGGGGAGAGGUUAGCCGUAAGGCGAAGCCUUGAACUGAAGCGCGGAUGAACGCCGGCCGUAACAAUAACGGUCCUAAGGUAGCGAAAUUCCUUGUCGGGUAAAUUCCGACCUGCACGAAUGGCAUAACAACUUGGUUACUGUCUCGACGAAGGACUCGGCGAAAUUGCAAGACGAGUAAAGAUGCUCGUUAAUCAUAGUUGGACGAAGAGACCCCAUGAAGCUUUACUAUAGCUUGAUAUUGGUUUAGGGCUAUACAUGUUCAGGAUAGGUGGGAGCCUUCGGGCGCCGGUGAGAUACCACCUUGUAUAGUUUUAAACCUAACCUUAGACCAUGAAUCUGGCCAAGGGACAGUGUCUGGUGGGUAGUUUGUCUGGGGCGGAUGCCUCCCAAAAGGUAACGGAGGCGUUUACCAAGGUUGGCUAUCCCGGGAUGGAAAUCCGGGUGAUAGUGUAAAGGCACAAGCCAGCUUUACUGCGAGACCUGCAAGUCAAGCAGUCGCGAAAGCGGAACUUAGUGAUCCGACCAUUCAAUAUAGGAUGGUGGAAGCUCAACGGAUAAAAGCUACUCUGGGGAUAACAGGCUAGUCACGCCCAAGCGUCCACAGCGACGGCGUGGUUCGGCACCUCGAUGUCGGCUCGUCGCAUCCUGGGGGUGGAGAAGCUCCCAAGGGUUGGGCUGUUCGCCCAUUAAAGCGGCACGCGAGCUGGGUUCAGACCGUCGUAAGACAGGUCGGUCUCCUAUCCACUAUGAUCGCGGAAACUUGAGAAGGCGCUUCCCUAGUACGAGGGGACCGGGAAGCACGAAGCUCUGGUGUACCAGCUGUCCUACCAAGGGCAUCGCUGGGUAGCUAUCUUCGGUUAGGAUAAGCGCUGAAAGCAUAUAAGUGCGAAGCCGUCUUCAAGAUUAGGUUUCAUAGACUCCCGGGAUACUACCGGGUUGAUAGGUUCUGGGUGUAAGCGCAGUAAUGCGUUGAGCCGAGGAAUACUAAUAAGUCAUUUGAUUGU
rnacentral:rRNA from 1 species